AACGAACGCUGGCGGCAGGCUUAACACAUGCAAGUCGAGCGCAUCCUUCGGGGUGAGCGGCAGACGGGUGAGUAACGCGUGGGAACGUGCCCUUUGCUACGGAAUAGCUCCGGGAAACUGGAAUUAAUACCGUAUGAGCCCUACGGGGGAAAGAUUUAUCGGCAAAGGAUCGGCCCGCGUUGGAUUAGCUAGUUGGUGGGGUAAAGGCCUACCAAGGCGACGCUCCAUAGAUGGUCUGAGAGGAUGAUCAGCCACAUUGGGACUGAGACACGGCCCAAACUCCUACGGGAGGCAGCAGUGGGGAAUAUUGGACAAUGGGCGCAAGCCUGAUCCAGCCAUGCCGCGUGAGUGAUGAAGGCCUUAGGGUUGUAAAGCUCUUUCACCGGAGAAGAUAAUGACGGUAUCCGGAGAAGAAGCCCCGGCUAACUUCGUGCCAGCCGCCGCCGUAACAC
rnacentral:rRNA from 1 species